rnacentral:rRNA from 1 species
CGGGUGAGUAACACGUAUCCAACCUACCUCAUACUCGGGGAUAGCCUUUCGAAAGAAAGAUUAAUACCCGAUGGUAUAAUUAGACCGCAUGGUCUUGUUAUUAAAGAAUUUCGGUUAUCGAUGGGGAUGCGUUCCAUUAGGCAGUUGGUGAGGUAACGGCUCACCAAACCUUCGAUGGAUAGGGGUUCUGAGAGGAAGGUCCCCCACAUUGGAACUGAGACACGGUCCAAACUCCUACGGGAGGCAGCAGUGAGGAAUAUUGGUCAAUGGGCGCAGGCCUGAACCAGCCAAGUAGCGUGAAGGAUGACUGCCCUAUGGGUUGUAAACUUCUUUUAUAUGGGAAUAAAGUUUUCCACGUGUGGAAUUUUGUAUGUACC